rnacentral:rRNA from 1 species
GGGGACAGCGGUGACAGGUGGUGCAUGGUUGUCGUCAGCUCGUGUCGUGAGAUGUUGGGUUAAGUCCCGCAACGAGCGCAACCCUUGAUCUUAGUUGCCAGCAUUUAGUUGGGCACUCUAAGGUGACUGCCGGUGACAAACCGGAGGAAGGUGGGGAUGACGUCAAAUCAUCAUGCCCCUUAUGACCUGGGCUACACACGUGCUACAAUGGAUGGUACAGAGGGCAGCGAGACCGCGAGGUUCAGCGAAUCCCUUAAAACCAUUCUCAGUUCGGAUUGCAGGCUGCAACUCGCCUGCAUGAAGCCGGAAUCGCUAGUAAUCGCGGAUCAGCAUGCCGCGGUGAAUACGUUCCCGGGCCUUGUACACACCGCCCGUCACACCACGAGAGUUUGUAACACCCGAAGUCGGUGGGGUAACCCUUCUGGGAGCCAGCCGCCGAAGGUGGGACAGAUGAUUGGGGUGAAGUCGUAACAAGGUAGCCGUAUCGGAAGGUGCGGCUGGAUCACCUCCUUUCUA